rnacentral:rRNA from 1 species
GGUUCGAUUCUGGCUCAGAUUGAACGCUGGCGGGAUGCUACACAUGCAAGUCGAACGGCGGCACGGACUUCGGUCUGGUGGCGAGAGUGGCGAACGGGUGAGUAAUGUAUCGGAACGUGCCUAGUAGCGGGGGAUAACUACGCGAAGGCGGCCUUCUUCUGCCGCCCUUCGGAAAGCGGGGACCUUCGGGCCUCGCACUAUUAAACGAAGCCGAUAUCGGAUUAAAAGCUGGUUGGUGCGGGGUAACGGCUCGCAGGCGAUCGGCUGGUUUGAGAGGACGACCAGCCACUGGGACCUGAGACACGGCGAGCUCCUACGGGAGGCAACGAUGGUACGGACAAUGGGGAAGCCACAGUCCAGCCAUCCCGCGUGUGCGAUGAAGAGGCCUUCGGGUUGGCAACACUUUUGGCGGAGAAAACGGCGGAUGUACCCGUGCAACUGACGGUACCUGCAGAAUAAGCACCGGCUAACUACGUGCCAGCAACCGCGGUAAUACGUAGGGUGCAAGCGUUAAUCGGAAUUACUGGGCGUAAAGCGUGCGCAGGCGGUUCGGAAAGAUGUAAAUCCGGAAAACGCUUUGAACUGCAUUUUAACUACCGAGCUAGAGUGUGUCAGAGGGAGGUGGAAUUCCGCGUGUAGCAGUGAAAUGCGUAGAUAUGCGGAGGAACACCGAUGGCGAAGGCAGCCUCCUGGGAUAACACUGACGCUCAUGCACACAACGUGGGGAGCAAACAGGAUUGAAUGCCACGGUAGUCCGCCUAAACGAUGUCAACUAACAUUGAGGCCUUCGGGCCUUAGUAGCGCAGCUAACGCGUGAAGUUGACCGCCGCAAAUACGGUCGCAGAUUAAACUCGGAAUUGACGGGGACCCGCACAAGCGGUGGAUGAUGUGGAUUAAUUCGAUGCAACGCGAAAAACCUUACCUACCCUUGACAUGUCACAAGUCCCGAAGGGAAUUUGGGAGUGCUCGCAAGAGAACCGGAACACAGGUGCGCAUGGCUGUCGUCAGCUCGUGUCGUGAGGAUGUUGGGUUAAGUCCCGCAGCAGGCGCAGCCCUUGUCAUUAGUUGCUACGAAGGGCACUCUAAUGGGGCUGCCGGUGACAAACCGGAGGAGGGUGGGGAUGACGUCAAGUCCUCAUGGCCUUAUGGGUAGGGCUUCACACGUCAUACAAUGGUCGGGACAAGGGGGUCGCUAGCCAACCCGCGAGGGGGAGCCAAUCCCAGAAACCCGAUCGUAGUCGGAUGUGAUCUGCAACUCGACUGCGUGAAGUCGGAAUCGCUAGUAAUCGCGGAUCAUGUCGCGGUGAAUACGUUCCCGGUCUUGUACACCUUUAAUCACCAUGGGAGUGGGUUUACCAGAAGUAGUUAGCCUAACCGUAAGGGCGAUUACCACGGUAAGUUCAUGACUGGUGAAGUCAUAACAAGGUAG